rnacentral:rRNA from 1 species
UACAGAGACUGCAAGCGUUAUUCGGAUUCACUGGGCGUAAAGGGUGCGCAGGCGGCCGUAUGUGUGAGGCGUGAAAGCCCGGGGCUUAACCCCGGAAUUGCACCUCAAACUAUACGUCUAGAGCAUUGGAGAGGGUAGCAGAAUUCAUGGUGUAGCAGUGAAAUGCGUAGAUAUCGGGAGGAACACCAGAGGCGAAGGCGGCUUUCUGGCCUGUAACUGACGCUGAGGCGCGAAGGCUGGGGUAGCGAACAGG